rnacentral:lncRNA from 1 species
CUCUCCCGGAAUAACCUUGCAGUCCUUGCACAUACCCCUAUCGCUCCUUCUGAGGAGGAGGUAAUCAAUCUAAGUCCUCGCCGCCGAACUCUUGAAGGUGACCAAAUGCUCCUCCCUCUUUUGAAAUGUCGAGUUCGCAAUCAGAAGCUCGGAAGCCCUGGCGAAGUCAAGCAGUGACGUGCCUCCUCCGUUCCUAACCCCAAAGCCGAGCCCACCGUGCACCUCACCAUAACCACCAGCAUCAGCCCCAAUAUGACCAUUAAAGUCCCCUC